CGCGUAGGUGGCUUGUCAGGUCUGAUGUGAAAACCUGGGGCUCAACUCCAGGCCUGCAUCGGAAACCGGCUUGCUAGAGUCUGGGAGAGGAGAGUGGAAUUCCUGGUGUAGCGGUGAAAUGCGUAGAUAUCAGGAGGAACACCGGUAGCGAAGGCGGCUCUCUGGAACAGUACUGACGCUGAGGCGCGAAAGCUAGGGGAGCGAACA
rnacentral:rRNA from 1 species